GUAGGGAAUAUUGGACAAUGGGCGGAAGCCUGAUCCAGCCAUGCCGCGUGCAGGAAGACGGCCUUCUGGGUUGUAAACUGCUUUUGCCAGGGGAUAAAAAGUCCCUGCGGGGAAAAUUGAAGGUACCUGGUGAAUAAGCCACGGCUAACUACGUGCCAGCAGCCGCGGUAAUACGUAGGUGGCAAGCGUUGUCCGGAUUUAUUGGGUUUAAAGGGUGCGUAGGUGGUCAUGUAAGUCAGUGGUGAAAUACGGCAGCUUAACUGUCGAGGUGCCAUUGAUACUGCGUGACUUGAGUACAGACGAGGUAGGCGGAAUUGACGGUGUAGCGGUGAAAUGCUUAGAUAUCGUCAAGAACACCGAUAGCGAAGGCAGCUUACUAGACUGUAACUGACACUGAGGCACGAAAGUGUGGGGAUCAAACAGGAUUAGAAACCCCUGUAGUCC
rnacentral:rRNA from 1 species